AGAAAGCAAAGGGCCCUUGGGUGGAAGGUUGGAUCUUCGCAUGAUUCAAGUUGCCAGAUCUAACUCUUCCAUAUGACGGUCAUUUGCCAACA